AAUGAAAGUACCAAGAGGGCACUUUGAAAGAUUCCAUCGUGCAAGUGACAAAAAGCAAAGAUUAAACCUUAUACCUUUUGCAUAAAGAUUUAGCCAGUCAAACUGGACAAAAAGAAUUAAAGCCCAUCUUCCCCAAAUUAAGUGAGCUAUUGUAGAACAAUUGUCAGAAUGAACCUGACUAUGUGGCAAAAUAGUGAGGUGAUUUUACAGUAGGGGUAAAAAUCUAUGAAUUUAAGUUCAACUUUAAAUUUAACUCAAGUACUAACAAAUGUAACUUAAAUUUAAAUGCUAUUAAAAAGGGGAACAACUCUUUUGACAUGUAAACAAACUUCCUUAGAGGAUAAUGAAAUAUAUACAAAAACAUUGUAAGCCUAAAAGCAGCCACCAAUUAAGAAAGUGUUAAAGCUCAAACUCACCUAUUAUUUAAUCCCAGAAAUCCAUCAAAAUCCCUACACCUAAUACUGAACAAUUCUAUUAAUAUUUAGAAGAUAUAAUGCUAAUAUUAGUAACAUGAGAAGAUUCUCCUUGCAUAACCAUAAACUCAGCUCAGAACAACCACUACUACUUAAUCAAACAAAUAGUCAUACCCACACACUAGCACUCUAUUACAUAUAUUGUUAACCUAACUCAGACAUGUAUUUAAAGGAAAGAUUAAAAGGAAUAAAAGGAACUUGGCAAACAAAAACCCCACCUAUUUACCAAAAACAUCACCUCUAGCAUUUACCAGUAUUGGAGGCACUGCCUGCCUGGUGAGUUACAACUUUAAUGGGCACAGUAUCCUGACCUUGCAAAGGUAGCAUAAUCACUUUUCUCUUAAAUAGGGACUAGUAUGAAUGGCAUAAUGAGGGUUUAACUGUCUCUUAUUUCCGAUCAGUGAAAUUGACCUUCCCCUGCUGAUAUAAUACUUAUAUAAAAUGAGAUGACCCUGUGGAGCUUAAGACACAUAAUUCAACACAUACUCCCAUUCAACCUACUGGAACAAACUGUAUAAGCCACUGAGUUAUAGUCUUUGGUUGGGGUGACCUCAGAGCAUAAAAUACCUAUGAAUGAAAUAACCUAGAUUAAGCUAUCUAAGUGUAUUAAUACCAGUAAUUGACCCAUAUCUUGAUCAAUGGAAGAAGUUACCCCAGGGAUAAUAGCACAAUCCUAUUUGAGAGCCCAUAUCAAAAAUUAGGGUUUACAACCUCAUUGUUGGAUCAGGACAUCCAAAUAGUGCAAUUGCUAUUAACAUUUUUUUUUUUUUUGGUUCAGUGAUUAAAGUCCUAUGUGAUCUGAGUUCAGACCGGAAAAAUCCAGGUUGGUUUCUAUCUGUAAGUUCAUUUCUCCCAGUACGAAAGGACUAGAGAAAUAGGGCCAACAUCUCUAAUGCGCCCUAGAACCAACAUAUGAAUACAUCUCAAUAUCCUAAUACUUCUUACCAUAGCUUUUCUAUGAGUUUGAGCCUCAUACCCACUCUUUCACUAU
rnacentral:rRNA from 1 species